rnacentral:misc_RNA from 1 species
AGCUGUUUUGGACCUGUGUCUGCCGGUAGAUCCCCCGUCUUCGUACGGCUGACUAUCGGCGCCGUGUCCUGUCAUUCGUGUGGCUUACGCUGCUGUCGCCUUUCAAGUGCUUGCGUGUUCUUACCCGUCCUACGGGAAGUGGCGAUUCGUACAUUGUUCCCUCGCGGUGGUCACCUUAGGGUGUGCCGCUGCGGCCUAAUGGCACUUGCGGCGUUUCCUCGUUUGUGUUGGCAUGCUUGCAUGCCCGUGCUAUCAAGGCAACCUUGCUUGUGCCGUUUGUCUUGGAUGUUGCUCACGAUAAAGGCUCAUGGCCCUUUUGGUUGCCUCGACCUGACCCUUAUGUUGCUCUCCGAAUUUGAGAACACCCGGAACAGGUGUUGCCUCUACCUCUCCGCAGUUAGUGGUAGGAUACGCAACAUUCUGCGCCGAUCCUCAAUCAAGUAGGAUGAGUUUCGCUCGAUUCUCGACAACCGGCUCGGCCGCCGCCUCAGCCUGGCCCAACACGUGGACGGGCGGGCAAAGACCGAUGCUGGACGUCAAUGAGGACGUGCUACCUGGUUGAUCCUGCCA